CACUAUGCCUAGCCAUAAACAUUGAUAGUAAGCUACGCCCACUAUCCGCCCGGGGAUUACGAGCACCAGCUUGAAACCCAAAGGACUUGGCGGUGCUUUAGAUCCACCUAGAGGAGCCUGUUCUAGAACCGAUUACCCCCGUUCAACCUCACCUUUCCUUGUUUAGCCCGUCUAUAUACCACCGUCGUCAGCUUACCCUGUGAAGGACUUAUAGUAAGCAAGAUUGGCAUAGCCCAAAACGUCAGGUCGAGGUGUAGCAUAUGGAAAGGGAUAGAAAUGGGCUACAUUCACUAAUACAGUGAAAUACGGAUGAUGCACUGAAACACACAUCUUUUUUGAAGGAGGAUUUAGCAGUAAGCAGAAAAUAGAGCGUUCCGCUGAAACUGGCCCUGAAGCGCGCACACACCGCCCGUCACUCUCCCCAAGCUCACCUAUCCCAAGUACCUAAAACCUUAAAACUGCAAAGGGGAGGCAAGUCGUAA
rnacentral:rRNA from 1 species